rnacentral:rRNA from 1 species
UACCAUGGUGGUAACGGGUAACGGGGUGUUAGGGCACGACACCGGAGAGGGAGCCUGAGAAACGGCUACCACAUCCAAGGAUGGCAGCAGGCGCGCAAAUUACCCAAUCCCGACACGGGGAGGUAGUGACAAUAAAUAACAAUACGGGGUUCUUUCGGAUCUCGUAAUUGGAAUGAGUACAAUUUAAAUCUCUUAACGAGGAACAAUUGGAGGGCAAGUCUGGUGCCAGCAGCCGCGGUAAUUCCAGCUCCAAUAGCGUAUAUUAAAGUUGUUGCAGUUAAAAAGCUCGUAGUUGAACUUCGGGAUCAAUUAGUUGGUCAUGCCUUGGUAUGUACUGAUUUUAUUGGUUCUCACCUUCUAAAGAACUAUAAUGUCAUCUAUUUGAUGUUAUAGGGAAUUAGGACUGUUACCUUGAAAAAAUUAGAGUGUUUAAAGCAGGCUCACGCUUGAAUACAUUAGCAUGGAAUAAUGAAAUAGGACAUCGCAUUCUAUUUUGUUGGUUUCUAGGAUCGAUGUAAUGAUUAAUAGGGAUAGUUGGGGGCAUUAGUAUUCAAUUGUCAGAGGUGAAAUUCUUGGAUUUAUUGAAGACUAACUACUGCGAAAGCAUUUGCCAAGGAUGUUUUCAUUAAUCAAGAACGAAAGUUAGGGGAUCGAAGACGAUCAGAUACCGUCGUAGUCUUAACCAUAAACUAUGCCGACUAGGGAUCGGAUGAUGUUGAUUUUUUAAUGACUCAUUCGGCACCUUACGGGAAACAAA